UCGAGCGCGGGAAGCGAGUGGAUCCCUUCGGGGUGAAGCUCGUGGAACGAGCGGCGGACGGGUGAGUAACACGUGGGCAACCUGCCUGUAAGAUCGGAAUAACCCCGGGAAACCGGGGCUAAUGCCGGGUAAUACUUUCUUUCGCAUGAAGGAAAGUUGAAAGAUGGCUUCUUGCUAUCACUUACAGAUGGGCCCGCGGCGCAUUAGCUAGUUGGUGAGGUAACGGCUCACCAAGGCGACGAUGCGUAGCCGACCUGAGAGGGUGAUCGGCCACACUGGGACUGAGACACGGCCCAGACUCCUACGGGAGGCAGCAGUAGGGAAUCUUCCGCAAUGGACGAAAGUCUGACGGAGCAACGCCGCGUGAACGAUGAAGGUCUUCGGAUCGUAAAGUUCUGUUGUUAGGGAAGAACAAGUACCGUGCGAAUAGAGCGGUACCUUGACGGUACCUAACGAGGAAGCCCCGGCUAACUACGUGCCAGCAGCCGCGGUAAUACGUAGGGGGCAAGCGUUGUCCGGAAUUAUUGGGCGUAAAGCGCGCGCAGGCGGUUCCUUAAGUCUGAUGUGAAAGCCCACGGCUCAACCGUGGAGGGUCAUUGGAAACUGGGGAACUUGAGGACAGAAGAGGAGAGUGGAAUUCCACGUGUAGCGGUGAAAUGCGUAGAUAUGUGGAGGAACACCAGUGGCGAAGGCGACUCUCUGGUCUGUUUCUGACGCUGAAGUGCGAAAGCGUGG
rnacentral:rRNA from 1 species